CAAAGGGAUCGGUUGGGGCACUACCCGGCAAUGUCCCAACCGUCGAAGGGCUCCAGCGCAAGCUGGGGCCCUUCACUUUUU
rnacentral:sRNA from 1 species